UACGUAGGGGGGCAAGCGUUGUCCGGAUUUACUGGGCGUAAAGAGCGUGUAGGCGGCCAAACAGGUCCGUUGUGAAAACUGGAGGCUCAACUUCCAGACGUCGACGGAAACCGUGUGGCUAGAGUCCGGAAGAGGAGAGUGGAAUUCCUGGUGUAGCGGUGAAAUGCGCAGAUAUCAGGAAGAACACCCGUGGCUAAGGCGGCUCUCUAGUACGGUACUGACGCUGAGACGCGAAAGCGUGGGGAGCGAACAGG
rnacentral:rRNA from 1 species